rnacentral:rRNA from 1 species
AUUGAACGCUGGCGGCAGGCCUAACACAUGCAAGUCGAGCGGAUGAAGGGAGCUUGCUCCUGGAUUCAGCGGCGGACGGGUGAGUAAUGCCUAGGAAUCUGCCUGGUAGUGGGGGAUAACGUCCGGAAACGGGCGCUAAUACCGCAUACGUCCUGAGGGAGAAAGUGGGGGAUCUUCGGACCUCACGCUAUCAGAUGAGCCUAGGUCGGAUUAGCUAGUUGGUGGGGUAAAGGCCUACCAAGGCGACGAUCCGUAACUGGUCUGAGAGGGUGAUCAGUCACACUGGAACUGAGACACGGUCCAGACUCCUACGGGAGGCAGCAGUGGGGAAUAUUGGACGAUGGGCGAAAGCCUGAUCCAGCCAUGCCGCGUGUGUGAAGAAGGUCUUCGGAUUGUAAAGCACUUUAAGUUGGGAGGAAGGGCAGUAAGUUUAUACCUGGCUGUUUUGACGUUACCAACAGAAUAAGCACCGGCUAACUUCGUG